UUCAUACUUUGAAAUUCGGAAAGUAGACAUUUCAAUUGUGGAAAUCCAAAAAGUUUUUGGGAUUAGAAUAUUUUCCUUAUUUCUUUCAAAUAUAUUGCUAGUUGUGAUUGUGAAGGAGCAAUAUAAUACCCGUAUUUGGGGAUCAUUUAAGUACAUGGAAGGAUUACUUAUCUUCUAAGGCCGUCCAACAUCAAAGGCCUUUUUUUUUCUGUAUGUUACCAACAUUUCUUCUCGAAUUUACGUUUAGAAAAUUACGUAAACUACGAGAUCGCUGACGAUUGAGAAUUUAUUUCGACCCAUCAACAUCGAAUCGAUUGAAUGCUGCAAAGUUUUGGUUUACGUACAAUUUUCUUCCCUUGGUUUGGACACAGGAUUUGGAAGUGGUGAAAAUUUUAAUAAUAGUUUCAACCCUGCUGAUUAUUUGGUAUGUAAAGAUCCGAUUUAUAAUUGGUGAUACAGAUCAAGAAUACCUAUACUGGGACAAAGUGAACUUUUCCAUUGAAAUUAAUUUUGAAUUUUUGAACUCUUUCAAUUCAUAUUCGUUCAUACAUAUUAUCAUUGUUAUCUUUAUAUUU